GGCUGCUCCUAGUACGAGAGGACCGGAGUGGACGCAUCACUGGUGUUCGGGUUGUCAUGCCAAUGGCACUGCCCGGUAGCUAAAUGCGGAAGAGAUAAGUGCUGAAAGCAUCUAAGCACGAAACUUGCCCCGAGAUGAGUUCUCCCUGAGACUUUAAGUCUCCUGAAGGAACGUUAAAGACGAUGACGUUGAUAGGCCGGGUGUGUAAGCGCAGCGAUGCGUUGAGCUAACCGGUACUAAUGAACCGUGAGGCUUAACCUU
rnacentral:rRNA from 1 species